rnacentral:rRNA from 1 species
AUUGAACGCUGGCGGCAGGCCUAACACAUGCAAGUCGAACGAGUGGCGGACGGGUGAGUAAAGUCUGGGAAACUGCCUGAUGGAGGGGGAAAACUACUGGAAAGGGUAGCUAAUACCGCAUACCAUCGGAUGUGCCCAGAUUGGAUUAGCUAGUAGGUGGGGUAACGGCUCACCUAGGCGACGAUCCCUAGCUGGUCUGAGAGGAUGACCGGCCACACUGGAACUGAGACACGGUCCAAACUCCUACGAGAGGCAGCAGUGGGGAAUAUUGCACAAUUGGCGAAAGCCUGAUGCAGCCAGGCCGCGGGAAUGAAGAAGGCGUUCGGGUUGUAAAGUACUUUCGGCGGGGAGGCGUUACACGAAUAAGAAGCCCCGGCUAACUCCGUGCCAGCAGCCGCGGUAAUAC